GGCCCACUUUCCCCGCUGGGAUCAUUCAGAAAAAUAAACCACAACAAACAGACAAAUCAGAGAUGGCCGAGGGAAUUAAUAGUUCUUACCUCAAAGAACUGGUCUUUGUCCUGAGACAGUACUAGAGUUGGCCUCAAGAAAACAUACCUAUUCCUUGAUAUGUCUUUAAACUACUUUGGUCACUAGCAGAUACUUCAGAGAUAAGGAACAAGAAGUCCUCAGUAUUUGAAAAAAUAAAAUAAAAAGAGUGUCCAAAGUUUUCUUUACAGUCUCAAAAACCAACCAUUAAUUGUACCAUGCCUUAAGUAUCACAACUUGUAAACGCUUUACUGCUCUUGUCUCAAAAGGCCUUGGAAACCUAUGCGUUUGCACCAAAUGGUGAAUAAUAUACCCAUUAUAUGGGUGUGUAUGUACAGGCUUUGCUGAUAUGCAGAAUCCUACCCUUAUAUUAACAGUCAUGGAGAGGUGAAGAGUCAGCACUAUUGUUUUUUUGUUUUUACACUAUGAUGGAACUCCAGACCAGCUCAAUGCUAGGCAAGUGCUCUACCACUGAGCUACAUCCCUGGUCCAGACCUAUUUAAAGGAACAUUGAGUCCAUAAAGAAUUGCAUAUCAUCUCCAUUGUGUGUUGAAUGGAACAUUCUAAUGUCAUCGCCCGCUGAAGAAAUUCUUCCCCAAUCUUCCCAAAUCUGCCCUAUGUUUGCCUACUUGAAGCAUUUGCUAUGUAGAAGAAAGGUACUUUGGAGAGAUAGAGAACUCUAUGUAUUACAUUUUCUGGUUUUAUUUCUAUUUUUAAUUGGCCAGAGCCUAAUUUCUCCCAGCCUCUGUUAAUUUGCACAUUGGAGAUUCAUGUGUAAAUAUGCAUGUGGCAUGUGUGCACGCCUGGGCCUUCUUAUCACCAAGCGUGUGUUUAAAUACACACAAUCCGCAUCUACACAUGAUUAUGGGCUUACUAUUUGCCUCUUCUCGGAAUCGGGUUAAUUUUCCCUUGGCUAAUCCUCAAACCCAUUAAGUUCUCCUCUCCUCUCCCCACCCCCACC
rnacentral:lncRNA from 1 species